rnacentral:rRNA from 1 species
AGUCCUGUAACUGUAAGCGUGGCACUGGUGUGGGGUUGCCCCGAGUAGCGUGGGACUCGUGGAAUUUCGCGUGAAUCUGGCGGGACCACCCGUCAAGCCUAAAUACUCCUUGGUGACCGAUAGUGGAUGAGUACCGUGAGGGAAGGGUGAAAAGUACCCCGGGAGGGGAGUGAAAGAGUUCCUGAAACCGGUCGCAUGCAAGCCGUCAGAGCCUGUGUGGUGAUGGCGUGCCUUUUGAAGAAUGAGCCUGCGAGUUAGUGAUGCGUGGCGAGGUUAACCCGUGGUGGGGGAGUCGUAGCGAAAGCGAG